AAGCGGUGGAUGAUGUGGAUUAAUUCGAUGCAACGCGAAAACCUUACCUACCCUUGACAUGUCCGGAAUCCCGAAGAGAUUUGGGAGUGCUCGCAAGAGAACCGGAACACAGGUGCUGCAUGGCUGUCGUCAGCUCGUGUCGUGAGAUGUUGGGUUAAGUCCCGCAACGAGCGCAACCCUUGUCAUUAGUUGCCAUCAUUUGGUUGGGCACUUUAAUGAGACUGCCGGUGACAAACCGGAGGAAGGUGGGGAUGACGUCAAGUCCUCACGGCCCUUAUGGGUAGGGCUUCACACGUCAUACGAUGGUCGGUACAGAGGGUUGCCAACCCGCGAGGGGGAGCUAAUCCCACAAAGCCGAUCGUAGUCCGGAUCGCAGUCUGCAACUCGACUGCGUGAAGUCGGAAUCGCUAGUAAUCGUGGAUCAGCAUGUCACGGUGAAUACGUUCCCGGGUCUU
rnacentral:rRNA from 1 species